CUACGGUGCUGAAGCAACAAAUGCCCUGCUUCCAGGAAAAGCCUCUAAGCAUCAGGUAACAUCAAAUCGUACCCCAAACCGACACAGGUGGUCAGGUAGAGAAUACCAAGGCGCUUGAGAGAACUCGGGUGAAGGAACUAGGCAAAAUGGUGCCGUAACUUCGGGAGAAGGCACGCUGAUAUGUAGGUGAAGCGACUUGCUCGUGGAGCUGAAAUCAGUCGAAGAUACCAGCUGGCUGCAACUGUUUAUUAAAAACACAGCACUGUGCAAACACGAAAGUGGACGUAUACGGUGUGACGCCUGCCCGGUGCCGGAAGGUUAAUUGAUGGGGUCAGCGCAAGCGAAGCUCUUGAUCGAAGCCCCGGUAAACGGCGGCCGUAACUAUAACGGUCCUAAGGUAGCGAAAUUCCUUGUCGGGUAAGUUCCGACCUGCACGAAUGGCGUAAUGAUGGCCAGGCUGUCUCCACCCGAGACUCAGUGAAAUUGAACUCGCUGUGAAGAUGCAGUGUACCCGCGGCAAGACGGAAAGACCCCGUGAACCUUUACUAUAGCUUGACACUGAACAUUGAGCCUUGAUGUGUAGGAUAGGUGGGAGGCUUUGAAGUGUGGACGCCAGUCUGCAUGGAGCCGACCUUGAAAUACCACCCUUUAAUGUUUGAUGUUCUAACGUUGACCCGUGAUCCGGGUUGCGGACAGUGUCUGGUGGGUAGUUUGACUGGGGCGGUCUCCUCCUAAAGAGUAACGGAGGAGCACGAAGGUUGGCUAAUCCUGGUCGGACAUCAGGAGGUUAGUGCAAUGGCAUAAGCCAGCUUGACUGCGAGCGUGACGGCGCGAGCAGGUGCGAAAGCAGGUCAUAGUGAUCCGGUGGUUCUGAAUGGAAGGGCCAUCGCUCAACGGAUAAAAGGUACUCCGGGGAUAACAGGCUGAUACCGCCCAAGAGUUCAUAUCGACGGCGGUGUUUGGCACCUCGAUGUCGGCUCAUCACAUCCUGGGGCUGAAGUAGGUCCCAAGGGUAUGGCUGUUCGCCAUUUAAAGUGGUACGCGAGCUGGGUUUAGAACGUCGUGAGACAGUUCGGUCCCUAUCUGCCGUGGGCGCUGGAGAACUGAGGGGGGCUGCUCCUAGUACGAGAGGACCGGAGUGGACGCAUCACUGGUGUUCGGGUUGUCAUGCCAAUGGCACUGCCCGGUAGCUAAAUGCGGAAGAGAUAAGUGCUGAAAGCAUCUAAGCACGAAACUUGCCCCGAGAUGAGUUCUCCCUGACUCCUUGAGAGUCCUGAAGGAACGUUGAAGACGACGACGUUGAUAGGCCGGGUGUGUAAGCGCAGCGAUGCGUUGAGCUAACCGGUACUAAUGAACCGUGAGG
rnacentral:rRNA from 1 species